UGGGGGGUCUCACCAGUGGACCUUCAAAUGCCUGUCUGCCUGUCAUGCUUCUGGCGCAGAUGACGACCAAUCGACAGGGAGGAAAACAUCACAGAGAAGAGCCCACAGCACUCGAUGUCUGUGUGUUUUUCUCCACAGGGAGAAAUAGGCCAGGAGGAUAUUCCAAGCAGAGGAAAGAGCAAAGAAGUGAGCUAAGCCCAAAUGCACACUGUUGUUGGAAGUACAUAAGUGAUAGGUGGGAGCCAUUUUGUUGAGUGGGUGGUGACUACCGGCCGUGAUCUCAUAGAACCACCAGGACUUCUCGUCUGGAAGGACAAGAAGUUGGACCAGGACCCACGUUCUUCUCCCUGUGCCACCCAGCAUCGGAUCACACCCCCAGGCAGAGCUCCUAGGCGUUUCCUGCCUCCUGUGUACAAUGGUGAGGAUUUAUUCUAUGCACAUCAGCCCAGCUUUUUGGGAGCAGACAAAACAACUCCCAAGAAAUUUCCCAGUUUGAAGAGCUUGGCUGUACUUACCACACGGUGAUGUUUGGGCACCACGGGCCCAUGGUUUCCAAAUUCCUGAGUGACUUUGGGUAUUUCAGUACUUUCUCCCUCUGAGGAAGCCAGGUUGUCUCCUCUCCAUUUGAUUUCUGCAGCUGGGUUUGCAUAGCUUGGCCCUGUGACUGGCCAGAAGCCCUCCACUCUUCCCCACUCAGCCAUGGAGCAAAGGGAAAGCCACAGACAUUUCCAGCAGAGUUCGUAGAGCCUUCAAAGGGGUUUUGCAUUUACCAAAGAGAUUCUUCGGAAUUUUGGAACGGCCAACAUGAAAUCAAUUCCUACAAGACUAACAAAUCAGGAGAGAAUGAGGAAAGAUGCCCAGAGAAAUGACCUUAGGUCAUUGCCAGAUCCUUAAAGUGCCUCCUGAAUCAUCAAAGAAAGAUUCCAUUACUGCCAAGAUGGUUAUAACGUCAGGUUCAAUUUAUUAUGUCUGGAUGCCUUGAAAAUUAAUCAUUUAAGUGAAUCAUUUAUAGGAGAAUAAAGAAGAGAUGACCUUGAAGAUCUAAAUCCAUGCUAUUUAGCCUUAAAGUCUGUAUGAGCUUCGAAGUCACUGAGUUUAGCGUCUCCAGAUGAAAAGAAUAGUUUCCAGAAAGAAAAAGACUUAUCUAAGGUAAUGUACCACCACUUGCUAAUUCUGGGUCAACUGCCUUUCCUCCACCAGCAUUGUUAUGCCUGUUCAUCUUAUUGAUAAAACUUUGUUUCAGUUCUGGAAAAGGCGCUUUCAUUUUUUUAAUGUUUAUUGAUUUUUGAGAGAGAGAGAGAGAGAGAGAGAGACAGAGCGUGAGUGGGCGAGCGGCAGAGGGAGACACAGAAUUUGAAGCCAGCUCCGAGUCCUGAGCUGUCAGCACGGUCUGACAUGGGGCUUGAACUCAUGAACCAUGAGAUCAUGACCUGAGCUGAAGUCGGACACUCCACCAACUGAGCCACCCAGGCGUCUCUGAAAAAGACACUUUUAAAGUUAACUCCUGAAUGCAAGUAAAUAAUGAAGAUUGGUUGGGGCAGCAUUGAAAAGUGGGCACUUAACGUAAUGGUGAGUGAGCAUUGCUCGCAGUCCCAGAAAUCUACUUCCUCUCCUGUCUCUGACUUGCACUCCGAUUUUGACAAUUCGUUUCAUCUUUCUAGACCUAGGGGUCCUCAUCUAUAAACUGAGGAGCUUGUAGUAGGUCGUUGCUUCUCAACGCAUUCGUCAGAGCCCCAGACGUUCCAUGGGUGCCUUGAGCCUUGAUGGCCUGGGGAAGGGGCUGAAAGAGGGAAAAGGAGGCAGGGCUCUGAGCCCUUCCUCUGCUUCUACCUGAGCAGACCCCUUGGGUCUGUUUUAUGUAUUUGGUUUUCAUGGAAGCUUUUAUCUCAACCACAAGAUUCUGUGGUUAAAUGUUUGAGAACCACUGGACUAAACUUCUCUAGCCUUUCUUUGGACAAAGUGUUUUUUCUGCCUCUCUGAUUAUAGAUGUUCUUUCAGAGACUGAUUUAGACAGGCUCAAAUUUAUAUGCUGUUGAGCUCUUUGGAGUUCCUAUAAAUUAGGAUGCACAUCGAGAUAAUUACCAUUCUGGAAUUCUAAGCACUUAAAUACAAGUCAAUCCUUAUAACCCCCUUUUAAACCAAUUGCCUCACUGCAGACAUGGUCACUGAAUAUAUAUUAUCGAUGCCAAUAAAACAGGAAACCCGAUCCUGCCAUUUUCCCCAUUAGAUAGUACAGAGGGGUUAAAGCCAGAAUCUCAGCCGUCAUUCUGACGGCAGGAUCUUGCUUCUCUGGACAGUCUAACUCUGGUUGUCAGGCCAGGCACAGGGGCAGACCCAACGCCUUCCAUCCCUUCGGCUCUGUAGAGUCAUGGAGUGGACCAGCUUGUAAUCCCUUGCUUUUGGGAAAGAAACUGGUUUUCUUCUGUGGCCAACUGUGUCUACCAAUCGCUAAAGGAAACAAUAGACCCAGGGCAAGCACUACUCUCAAGUGGUGGCACUGGGAGGGAGCAGGUCAGCGUCCGAGCCUGGCAUUAAGGCAGCCGAGGCCAGUGGUGGAGCCCAAAAGACCACAGAGAUGGCUUCUCCAGGGCACACCUGCUCUGAAAAGGAGUAUGGGGGCCCGGGGAACCGAGGCAGAGAAUGGUUUUAGGACUCUGUAGAAUCAGAACGAACUUCAUAGAAGAGCCUUAGAAAUGUUGUGGGGAAGCACAUGGAAAAACUAAAAGCCAGACAAGUGACACUCCUUGCUCAGGUCACCCUUAGGUCACAGUAUUUCACUUCUUCCAGUCUACACUGUGAGCCCUCAGGCCUCUCUCCACAGGGGCUGGGCACGUCAAUGAGGUAACUGACAGAGGAGUGUUUCCCCGAAGGCAAGGAGCCUUCGGGAAGGGAGGGUGAGGGGACGGCGUUUUCCCACCGGGAGCCAUUGCUCAACAGGCAACAGCCAGAACCCAGACCAAAUUCAUCACCAUGUGAGACUCUCAACCCCACCCCGGACUACUACGGACUCCAGAGAAUAGCCAGUGUGUGCGCGAAUUCCCUCCUGCCUCCCUUGGCUGUCCGCCUGAGCCAGUCUGUGCCCGUUAAGUUCAUCUUCAGUUAAAACUGUGACCACACCCCGAACCCUCAGUCCUUGGGCCACCUCUGUACUGAAGCGCUUGCUGUGCGUACCAGGGAUGGAGCAUCCUGCCCUUUCUGAGGUUGACAGGCUGUGACGAUUCUGAUAGGGACCGGGAAGUCACACAUAUCAUUUACUUCCGUAAAUAGUCAUCCCAUUAAUAAGCAUCCACCGAGAGAAGACGGUUCCUUUGCAGACUCCCAGGCCACAGGCUUCAGUUUCCGGAAAAUGCAGAUUGGGACAGCAGAUGAAAUAAAGCCAUCACCAGCCCAUAGGACAGUCUCAAGAGGAGUGACUGUCCCUGUCCUCUGCAGUUGUUGCCAGAGAGCAAUUUGCCCUUGAAUCCAAUCUACCAUCCCUAAACUGACAAUUUCAUUUCCCUCCCAGCCCACUCCCUGCCCCGAAGAUCUGCUGAAGCCGCGAGUUCCAGCUGAAGAGCCGGCAGGAUAAUAGUCUAUGUGGCGUCCAAGAUGGCUGCCCCGAAACUCCUGAAGUUACACGUCAAGGGAACCAGUGACAACAGAAGCACCAAUCUCCCUCUCAGUUCCAAAUUCCUGAGACAAGAUUGGGAUUGACUUUGUUUGGUCAGGUUGUUACUCCUGGUCCAAUCCUCUUGGCCAGAGGGGUGGAGUUACCUGGUGCAAGUAAGGUGUGUGUGUGGGGGGGUGUCCUCUCUGUGGUUAUAUGGAUGGGGUGAGUGUAUAUGGAGAGAAUUCCAGAGAAGAGCUGGGGAAGCUAGUAGUUCCUGGGCUGGAUAGGCAUCUCAUACGUGUCCAUCAUACUCGCUUGGGUUAUCUAAUGCUGCGUGACAAAGUACCCCAAAUUUCAGAGGCUUAACACAACCAUUUAUUAUGCUCACUGAUCUCUGGGUCAGGAAUUCUAAUAGGGCACAGAGAGGAUGGCUUAUUUUUGCUUCAUAGUGUUUGGAGCCUUAGCUGCCGGACUCCAAGCUUGGGGCUAUAAUCAUCUGAAGGCUUGUUUGGUCAAGAUUUGGAUAAGUAGGGGCGGCUGAUGCUGGCUGAGGGGGGUCUCAGUUCCUCUCCACAUGGGCUGCUUGGGCUCCCUCACAGCAUGGUGGCUGGGUUCCCAGGGCAGGCAUCCGAAGAGAAAGGCAGGCUGAAGCCUCAUCAUCUUUUCAACCUGGCCUUAAGAGUCACCCAGCAUGGCUUCUGUACGUUGUAUUCAGUAGCUUUCGUUAGAAGGGAGUCAUUAAACCUGACUCAUGUUCAGGGGUGCCUGCGUGGCUCAGGCAGUUAAGUGUCUGACUUUGGCUCGGGUCAUGAGCUCAUGGUUUGUGAGUCUCAGCCUCGCGUUGGGCUCUAUGCUGACAGCUCAGAGCCUGGAGCCUGCUUCAGAUUCUGUGUCUCUGCCCCUCUCCCACUCAUGCUCUGUCUCUGUCUCUCUCUCAAAAAUAAAUAAACAUUAAAAAGAUAAUUAUAAAAAACUUGACUCUUGUUCAAAAGACAAGGGAAAUUAAGCUCAACCUUAUAAUGAGAGGAGAGGCAAGUUUCUAGAAAACAGAAUGUGACUAGAAAUAUUGCUGGGGGCUUUUGGGGGGCAAAUACAACUUGCCACAAUAUUUAUAAUAGUUUCCAUUGCACUUGAAGAGACCUUUAUAAGUAAGAAGCUGAAAGGCCACCUCCAGAGUUGUAAGCUAGCUUAUGGGUUUCCCAAACCAUUUUGGCUCAUGGUGCCCAUAGACCAAAAGAAAUACCUAACAGUUCUGUUUAUUAAGUAGUUCUAGCCAAUAACUUAAUAAUCAUUUAUCUCCUAACAAAUUAGUACCCACCUGAAAUAAUCAUACCCAUAAAUUGAAAGUAAAAGAACCAUUUUUAUCUCAUUCUUGAAUAAAUACAGCGAACGGCAUGUGAGCCUUUUGGGUGCUAUGCAGCUUCUCUGAUCCUGGCAUCUGAUUGGACACUAACAUCUUCGUUUCCUGUCUCACAGUGACUUUCACACUUCAUCUGCCUGUUAUCACUGAACCCCCAAACCCCGCUUUGCGAGGAUAAGAUGUCGUUGAAAGGAAUGUAGCACAAUCUACUGUUGCAGGAAGGAACGACCACAAAGCACGUGGUUUGUGUGAUGUCUAACGGAUGUCAGGAACUGCUCCAAGAUACAAAAUACUCUUCAGUGCUUCCCUGAGUUUGCUGUGGGCCUCGGGGUACCUCAACCCACAGUUCGGGAAUCGUGGGCUUAAACACAGAAGGUCCAGAAUUAGGGACCUACUGAUAAUGCCAAAGGGGCAGCUUCUUAAGAUUUCCAACUUCCUAACAAGGGCAUUCAGAUUUCAAAUGUUUAGGCGACUCCGAAGUUGAGUAAUUCAGAAUCUGUGUAGUUAAGCUAACUUGUUGAAACCGAUGAAUUUUAAGGAACCACUUUGGUUCUCUUUCCUGGGUAACAGAUGAGAAACAAGGAGAUCUCCUCCCUUCAGCCUCAGGGAUGCUGGAGCAAUGAGUUGCAGGUUGUCUUCAAGACAUUGACACUUGCCCUGGAGAGUCAUUCGUGGAGAUCGAGGGAAUGACAUAAUACGCAGGGAACGCAUCUAUGCCACCAGAGUUUCCCAUGUCAGCCCACGCUGGUCAAGAAAGGCAGAGAAUAGUUUCAUUCCAAGCUUAAGCCAACAUUCUUGCCACUACACCAGGGCGCUGCCCAAUAUGACGGGAAAUAUUACAUGAAUGGUAAAAAUGUGAGCUAAGCCCACCCCAUCUCCAAACCCAAAAAGCUUCCGAGACCCCUGAAGUUAAAUGGAACUAAAUCAUCGACACAGUCUCCAAAGCAACUUCUUAUUUAUUUCAGAACUUUCUAUGUGACCCCAAUCAGGUCAUUUUCUAGCUCUUUGUUUCCUUAAAUGGAGCACUGUGGAAGAAGAAGUCACUGUUUUUCUCUAAAGCUACUUAGCAAAUUGCGAAUGAAAGAGAAAAUACACAUGCAACUAAGAGUUUGUCACCUUGCUGAACUAAAAAAUAUGGCCCAGUUUCACUUUCUCGUCCCUCUCUCUCUCUCUCUCUCUCUGUUUCUCAUAAUUCUCAGCCAAGACAAUAGGAGUCAUGUGAUGUGACCGAGAAAUUGGGCCAGUUAAAAAUAGAAGGCGCACUCCACCAAGUUCAUUACAAAGUUGAAGUCUUAUUGUUGAUUGCCGUUAAUUUAUCUCUGCCUGCCACAUGUGUGAGGGAGCAGGGCGACAGACAAUUGGUGACUCUGAGAGCCGGAGCCCCCAGCCCCCCGCUUCCCCUCCUGCCCCAGCUGAGCAGCAUCACCCCCGUGAACUCACCUGGGCCCCGAUAAUACCCUCCGCCCAGCCCCCAGGCCCUGUCUCCUCCAGGAGCCGUUUUAGCUGUGAAACAGUUCUGGCUGCCUUCUCCUCUCUCUCAAUGGGGGUGCUCAGCACCCACCUUUGUAAACGGGGGUGCACUUCCCGGGCUUUAUAGUCAUCUCAUUGAAAGGGCUAUUCUUACCCCUAUUUUGUAGCCGAGCAGAUUGAGGCCCUGAGGGGUGGGGGGGCGGCUGGAGCUGGAAGCCUCUCUUUUUCGGUUGGGUGAUGGGUUACGUGGGUCCCUCUCCUAAAGCGUUGGGAGCAUGGUAUGCACUGGACGCCUGUACCCUCCCCGUGGCCAGUGCUGGAGUCGGGGAGGGGUAAGUUAGGGCCGCCGCCAUUCGUCCCGAUGGUGAGUUAGCAGCGGUGGGGUUCACACAUCGUUUCCCUCUGGGUUGGGCCAGCCGAGUCACAGACGCGGGAGUGGGCCGACGGAGGUUCAAGUCUCAGCCUUAUUGCUGCUCAGGUUGGCUUGCGGGGCCCGGCUCAGCCCUCUGGCCUCUGGUUUCGAACACCCUUGUCCCAAGUUUCUACUUCAAGACCCACCUGAGGAAGAGCGUGAUGUUUUCCCAUUUGCGGCCUCGUCUCGUCAAAAUCAAACCCACGGGUGGGGGGGCCUCAGUGCUGAGUACGGGAGGCAGGCCAGACCCUGACCUUGAGCAUUCAGUGUCACCCCGACAAACACCCCGGGGAAUGCAGGCGAUGACACCAGCGUCCAGGCUGGCCCAGACGAGGGCCGAAAGGUAAUUCUCCUCCUCACCCUUUUGGGAGGGAUGAGCAGAGAGGGAGGGGGCCCAGGUCUUAGCGCCUCUGUUCUCCCUCUUCAGAGAGGGUGCACAGGGUAGGGGCUCUCAGCUGUGUGGCCUGAUGUCUCCUGCCUCCCAGCGCACCGCACAGGGUGUGCACGGUGUGGUUUGAAUGCGAGCUGCGGAGGAGGGUCCCAAACCUUGAGCGACUCGCAAAAAGUGGGCUUCUCAGCAUUGUCUGGGGCCGUGGAAAGCUGAGGGGCCCUUCCCACGCAGGGAAGGUGCUUUGUCGGAGAGCAGCCUGGCACACCUGCCCUCCAGGCGGGUGUUAAACCUCAGCUAACCUCAGGGCCACCCUGCCCACCUGGUGUCUCCUGGGGUGACUUCUGUCCUCCGAGGGCAGCUGGCAAAAGGAGGACUGUGGGGCAGGGGUUCCCGUGGGGAGGCUGGGAGGAGCUGCUCACUUGUGGAGUGUUGAGAUAUGCCUGCCGCCGGCUCCCCCCGCUGCCUGGAAACAGGGCUGGCCCAGCUUCGAUUAGAAGGUCUGGGAAGGCGGUGAUCUGCACCGAAGGGGGGUAGAGAACAGAACCUUGAGGGAAUCACCAGGAGAUUCUUUGUCUUUUUUUUUUUUUUAUAAAAAGCUUUUUUUGGGUACAGUGUAUUUAUUUGUUUUGAGAGGGAGAGAGAGAAACAGCACCAAUCGGGGACAGGGAGAGAGAGGGAGAGAGAGAGAAUCCCAAGCAGGCUCCACGCUGUCAGUGCAGAGCCUGAGGUGGGGUUCAAACUCUUGAGCAGUGAGAUCAUGACCUGAGCCAUAACCAAGAGUUGGAUGCUCAUCUGACUGAGCCACCCAGGCGUCCCCUAGCCCAGUUUCUAUCAGAAGGUGUGGGAAGGGUGUGUUCUAGACUGAAUGGGGGUAGGGAACAGAAUCUUGAGGGUGUUGCCAGGAGAUUGUGGGAUCUCUCUCCCCUUUUUGCUUUUACUGCUCUUUGUAGAUUCUUCUCCUCUGCCCAUUUCUAAGACCUGGGGGCUCUGCUGCCUCUCCAGUAACUGCCAACUCCACCCACCUCCUCCCUCCCCUCCAUCUCCCCCUGCCCUUCUCUUCUCGCAUAGACCUCAGGGCAGCAGAGCCCGAUGCCAAGGUAGGACAGGGUCUUAGAGCCCUGGUCUGGUCUCCAAAUUUCAUAAGUGAGAAAACUGAGGCUAAGAGCAGAAAAGAGACUCCUUGGACGUUCCCGGUAUAUGUUGACAGAUCCAAAAUGAAUUCAUAGAAACUACAUUUCUGUGUAGCCUGGAAGAAGUGUUUUCUGAGACACGGUCUCCUUCUAUCCAAGGCAAUGUUCGUGGGGUGGUCCUAGCCAACCUACGGGACGCGUGACACGUAUCAUAGGGGGUCGGGGCUGGAAUGUUGCUUUACCUGUUCCAUGGGGAUACUCGCUUGUCUGAGUCUCAGGAUUGUCCCCAGUGAUGACAGAGUUCAUAUAUGGAAAAGGGCCGAUGUAAUGCCAAGUGCACCGUGCACCCUAAACAUCGUUCACUCACUUCUAUGGAGAAGCAGAGGUCGGUAGUUAGAGUAUGGGUUCUAGAGCUAGAUCACCUGGGUUCUGACCCUAGCUCUGCAGUUUACUGCAUGGCCUUCGGCAAGUUAUUAUUAUUUUUUUUUUUACCUCUCUGGGCCUCAAAUUUCCUGUCUAUGAAGUGAAGAUAACAAUCAUACCAUUCUGUAGGGUUGGUGGAGGGUAGAAUGAAGAUUCAGUGAAUUAAGCACCAAGAAGAGUACAUCGUACCUCAGUACUCACUGUUAGCUGUAUAAUAAACGUUUCCGUCAACAAAGCAUGAUUGUUAUCACUGUGAUUGUUUCCCCGUCUUCCAGAACCUCAGGGCCCUUGGUAAUGAAGAAGUCAGAGUACCCACAGAAAGGCAGGGUUCACGAAUAAUUCCCCCUGCUUACAAUCAUUGGGGAUGUCCGGGGGAGAUAUGGAACAACUACUUCUCCUGGGAUGCUGAAAAAGGGUUCCUGCAUGGUAAGAGAAACUAGCAUUGACAUCCCCUUCAAAGACUCCACGCUUCAAGACAGCACUGUGAAUUUUGAGGGCACUUAAAGAAACGUGCAGAAAGAUACUGCAACUUCUUAAGAAGAUGCUGAUCUCUGCCUUUUCCCACUCAUUCGUUCAGUGCUUGCAGAACACCUUCUACGUGGCAGACGUUGCUGGGGACCGACAGUGGAUUAAGUAUGGUCUCUACCUCCAGGAGAGACAGACACAAUAAGCCCGUGUUUUCAGGGCAGCUUGUUGCGUACAAUGAGUCUACGUGGGGCGCUAUAUGACAAAGGGGAUGUUGUGGCUACUUUGGGAGAGUUCCACCAAAGAAGUCUUCAGAGAAGGAAAACAUUCGCCUUGGGUCUUGCGAGUCAGAUGAGUGGGAGUGCCCCCGACAGCUAAGAGGCACAGACAUUCUCAGCACAGGGAACACCAUCUUCUCUUUUCCUUCCUGACAGCCUCGUGAAACAGAGAACAGAAUGGCGUGUAGCUGUUUUGUAAAAUGGGAAAGGUUACUGACGGAUCAACUGGUGAGCCUCCGAAGUUGCAAGAGUCCUCUGACCCCUGCCCUGGGACUCGCCACCAUAUCUGAGUUACUCUAUUAACAAUUACCAACCUUAAGGUUCAUGCCUAAUACCCAUCAUCCUUCCCUGACUGGGGACUUACCAGUUGAGGUGAUCCCUCUAUUUUUGAAAUGCAGAUCAAAUGGACAAAGCUUAUUUCCAUCUCUGCCUCAUCUUUUAUAAAUAUCAAGGAAUGCCCCAACAUUGCCCCCAUCCCACUCCCAACUCCGACCCACUCAAAUCAAAAGAGGAGUUCAAAACCUCAACCUUGAAAAGCUUCUGGAAUCCAAUAGGCUCUGCCUUGCUUGCCUCAUCACAUCCAUUCCCACAGCACGGGCAAGUCAGGUAUGAGUUUCAGUUUACAUGGGCCCCAGCAUUGAAGGCUGAGUGCCCACCAAGUACCUCUGUGAGGGCAAGGCCCAGGAGUGACGCAUGGCGACAGCCACCUACCACGUCCAGCCUGUGUGGUUAUGGGAGAAAGGAGGACUUCAGGUGGCAGAAUUAUAAGGAGUGGGGAGAAGGCAGAGCCUCAGGCAUUGGAUGUCCCGCGGGCCCUGUAGAGGGUUGACUGAACCACUCGCCCUGAUCCCGUGGCUCUAGAGCUGUGCCCACAUAGCUCAGCACACACCGAGGUCUUCAGCCUGGUGAAGCAGAAAGAGCAGGGGAUUGGGAGUCACUGAGACCUGGGCUAGAAGCAUGGUGGUGGCUCUACUUAGCUGUGUGGCUCUACAUACAAUGGGGCUAAUCAAACUUAACUCAGAAGGUGGCGUGGAUUAAACAGGAGGAUGAGAGUAAGAAUCCAGGCCUGGUGUUAGCUACAAACACAUACAGGGUGAUCAGCAGAUGUUAAUAUGUCAGACAACCGGCAUGUAUUGAGCACCUGCUAAGACUUCCAUCUUGAACUGAUGGUCUUUAACCAUCAUCGUUCAACCUGACAUUAUUCAUUCACUCAACAAACAUUUAUUUGAGAUGAACUCUAUGUCAAGCCCUGAGAUUUGUGCUGGGGAUGCCGACAAGGAUAAGAUGGAUAAGUGUCCCUGUGGAAUGCCUACACCAUAUACUGUCUGCAGCUUUGUCUAUAAGGUUGAAAUAUCGGAAACAACCCAAGGCCCAACAAUAAGGGAAUGGUUAAGUAGAUGGAAAAGAAGCCUUGUUAUAGGAUCAUGUUGCCAAGUAUUUUUGUUAUAAUAGUAACUGAAGCAAGCAGGAAAGGAGAAGUUUUUAAACGUUUUUUUUAUUUAUUGAGAGAGAGAGAGAGAGAGCAAGCACGGAGGUGGGGCAGAGAGAGAGGGAGAGAGGGAAUCCCAAGCAACUCUGUGCUAUCAGCGAGGAGCCCAAUGUGGGGCUCGAACUCAUGAGCCGUGAGAUCAUGACCUGAGCUGAAACCAAGAGUCGGAUGCUUAACCGACUGAGCCAACCCAGGUGCCCCAGGAAAUGAAAUUUUAAGUACAAUUGGUCCUCAAUAUUCAUGGCAGUGUUCUACAAAGUCACUUCAAACACUGACUCAGUGAACAGGACCAUUGUUCUUAGGAGAAAUACAUGGUUAGGUUCCUGUGAGCUUCUGUUUAUAGCAUUUUUGUCAACUGACAAAUUCCUAUUCUUAUUUUAUGUGUGUUUCUGUUUAAAGACACUUUAUUUGAUAUCUAUUGUUGAUUCAUCAACAUAGAACUCAUGGCCAACAGCGCUAUGGCCCCUGCCCUAAUGAAGCUUUUCUAACACAUGUACUUUUUCUUAUAAGACACAUCACAGCUUCCUGGCUCUUGAGAACACUUGCAGCAUUAUGGCGGGGGGCUAUUUUAAACAGUGAAAUCACCAACAGGAAGCACACAAAUACAAAAAACAUUGCGCUAAAUAGAUUGGCAAGAGGCCAUUUGUUUACAGUAUGGAGCUGAAACAAGAAGGCAGAGACUCUCUGUGUUUUGCCUUGGCUGGGAACCCGGAUGUGGGGUCACUCAAACUCGUCACUUUGUGCAUGUCAGUGAAUGACCAUGAAAGUUCUUUGAGCAUCGGUUUUGAGGUUACAGAUGCAUUUUAGUGAGUAGGGAAAUUUGCAAAUAAGGAGUCCAUAGAGGGUGGGCAUGUGAAUAAUGUAGGACAUCGCAUUAGUAUCGAUGCAUUUCUGUUUUGUUUUGUUUUUUAAGUUUAUUUGUUUUGAGAAGAGAGAGGGAGAGAGAGAGAGAAUCCCAAACGGGCUGCGUGUUAGUGGCACAGAGCCUGUCACGGGGCUCAACCCCACAAACCGUGACAUCAUGACCAGAGCUGAAACCAAGAUUUGGAUGCUUAGCUGACUGAGCCACCCAGGUGUCCUGAUGCUUCUCUGUUUUAAAAUUUUUGUUAAUGUGAUCCAGUUGGGUUUUGUCCCCUACAUUUAAACAUAAAUACGCCUCAGAGAAAAUGAACGUGCAGCCUGCAUGUCGCCUCCUAAACCCUCCCUCUCCACCUACUUUGUCUCCUCAGCUUGGUCAGCGGGCUCAGAGAUGGUGGGAAUGAGGCGUCAAGGUCAGUAGCUCCCAGCCUGGGCAAUUCCACAGCGACUGAAGUUUCUGGAGUGGCAGUAAGGCCAGCCACAAAUGCUUGUAACUGCUGUCCCGUGUAGCUGCCGUCCCGCCCUGACGCAGGACCCCUCACUAGAGAACAGCACUGGGCAGUUUCUCUCAGGUUGUGAUCCUGUCCUCUCUGCAUGGCUCCCAGGAACUCAGCCCCGUCAGAAACUCCCAUUUUCCUGUGCUUUGACGCUAAUUAAAGGUCUUCCUAAAACUUGGACUCUUUGGAAGAAGGAUUGAAUAUUCCUUUGAUUCAAUAUGUCUGUGAUGGAAAUAUUUAGAAUUAUUGCUCUAAAUAAUGUAAAAGGCACCCUUUUCUAUUCUUUUUUAAAGUUAUUUGUCAAGAAGCCAGCUUACCUGUUGACGGGACCUCGUAUGCUCCAUUGGAUUAUUCUAGGGGUCCAUUUGAAGGGAAAGAUCCAGAAACAUCUUCAUCAAUACUUGCAGAGGCUAGGAGCAGUAUCGUCCUAAUUCCUGACUAUGGGGGCAGGAAAUUCCAGGCCACAAAGGUUGCUAACAUUUUUACCUGAUUUGCCUCCGGAUUUAAAGCAGAGGGAGUUUCCAGAAAGUAUGGGCAUGGCUCCAAGGUGCCAAAUGGAUUCACUCAAAUGGUUGUUUAUUCCCUUGGCAUCGAAGGUGCGAGAAGUACGUUUCGAAGCGCCCACUGUGUGCCAAACCCCGACCUGGAUGCUUUGUCGAUCUCGUGUAAUCUUUUUUUAUCAAUAUUUUUUUUUAAGUUUAUUUAUUUAUUUUGAGAGAGAGAGAGAGAGGGGGAGGGAGAGAGAGAGAAUCCCAAAGAGGCCCCACACCCAGCACAGAGCCCGACACAGGGCUUGAGCUCAUGAAUGUGAAAUCAUGACCUGAGCUGAAACCAAGAGUCAGACACUUAACCGACUGAGCCACCUGGGUGCCCCUCUCCUAUAAUCUUUAAGUGAUGUUACAAAGUGGACAUGAAGAAUUUCCCUGUUUAUGGGGCACUUGGGUGGCUUCGUCGGUUAAGCAUCUGACUGCAGCUCAGGUCAAGAGCUCACAGUUUGUGGGUUCGGGCCCCGAGUCGGGCUCUGUGCUGACAGCUCGAGCCUGGAGCCUGCUUCAGAUUCUGUCUCUCCCUCUCUCUCCGGCCCUGCCCUGCUUGUGCUCUCUCUCUUUCUCUCUCAAAAAUAAAUACAGUUUUAAAGAAUAAUAAACAAACAAAUAAAUGCAAGAAGCUCCCUGUUCCAAUGAGACGGCACAAGAGAAGUUGUAACUUACCAGCUACAUGGCUGAGCUGGUAUUAAACCGGGUGUGUCAGUCUUUGUGGCUUUUCCGUUGGGUCACACUUCUCAGAAGCUCUGGAAUCACCAUGCAGGGGAGAUGGUGCCCCUGAAAGCCCACCAAGGAGGGAGGGGGAUUAAGGCUGGUCCGGUCAAGCUAGGGCAGAGGUGGCGGUGCCCCAGCGGUCUCGGGUCAAAUGAAGCCUGAUCCUUUCGUAGCUUGAUUUGGCCUCGAACUGGGAAACAGAUGGGUCUGGGCUGCCUGAGGGUCUGGGGGAGGCUGAGCAGACAAAUGGGUCCUGGCUGCAAUUGCUCCUGCCCUGAGGGUCCGGGGCUGGGGGCUGCUUUGGGAAGGGGACCCCAGUGCCUAUGUACCUUUUGACUUGUAAAACCUUGGAUAGCAAUUCAUCUGUGAGGCUGCAAGGCUAGAGAGCUCACCCUUUCUGAGGGCAGCCGACUGGGAGACCUGAGGCAAGUUCAGGGAGGUAAGGCAGAUGUCAACAGGUGUGUUCAAAACAAGGUGGCUUGUUGCCCAAAAAGAAGACCCCAAGGGCCACGGAAAGAUGCCUAAUGGACUUCAUGCUCUUUCAACCGCAGACUCAUCCUUUUGCAAUGCCGGUUAGUGGGGUUGUUUCGAAGAGAUGUGGGGUUGCCUAGCUGUGGGAAUGCCCUGAAAUUGGAUAAGCGGGGACCCAGCUCACAAGCGUGGAAUGAAUGAAUCGAUGAAUGGAAACUUGGACACUGAUUCACUCACUACUCACUUAUCAAUAGGAAGGCCAACCAUCUGGUUUGCCUAGGACCCAGUUGUUUCCUGGGACGUGGGACUUUCAGUCCUAAAAUGAGGAACGUCCUGGGCACACCAGAACUAGAUGGUCCCCCAGGUACUGAGAACUGAUGAUGGACCAGACCCUGGGCCCUGACGGGGCAUAUGGGGCUAAAUCGGACGCAGUCCCUGCUCUCAAGGAGUCCACGUGUAGUCGGGAGAGAUAAAUAUGACACGAUAGGGUCACGUUCAAGAGCAAGGCUGUGGAGUCAGAAGCACCAUGAUGGCUUUUAAGAGGAGGAGCAGGUGCCAGAGGCGAGUCUUGCUGGGGGAGGAGCCCAACAAAUCUCUGGAGAAGCUUGGGAAGAAGGGCUUUGGGACCCAGGGACAGCUGGGACAAAGGCCUAGGGUCUACAACAAUGUGUUGCCGCAAGAAGCAGGGGGCACCAUGUGUAUGCGUUUGUGUGUGUGUCGGGGACAAAUGGGGGAACACAGGGGUGAUGGUGAGGUUGGAGUGGUCUCGGAGGGGCCAGGGGACAAGUUGUCGACCGUGUGAAGAAAAAUGAAAUUUAUACUGUAGGCAAUAGGGAGCUACUGAAGGCGUUUUAAGCCGGAGAGAUAGAAUCCAAUAUUACAAAACGUUUCAUCCGUUCAGCAAAUGUUUGCUAAGCGCCUACUGGGUGUUAGGCAUUGUGCUAGGGGAGCGAAUGCAUGCUUGCAGGCAUGGCUGUCUGCCAAAAAGUUUCUUUUUAAUUUUCCAGUUGCCGAGAGGGUCCUUGAAAUCCAGGGCCUGGCUGAUAGGACGUUCGGGCCUGUUGGCCUCUGUCAGAAAAAUUGUUCCGCAGUGAGCAAAUCUAAGGAGGAGACCGCCGGCACCAACUCCAACCUCCGCCCCUUAUCUGUUUUUCUUUUUCCGAAAGACCUUGAGGACUGCAGCGGAUUCCACUGCAAAACGGUUACACAAUUUCCCCCCAGAGAAAGCGAGCUUCCACCUUAGGGGAUGAAUAAGCCCUUUCUUUUCUGGAGAGCCGGCCAAUGGAGGCCCCGGGCUGGGUACUGCAGGAGGCACGGUGCGGGGGGACAGCAGGCCUCGCUCUACUUUGGGGGUGCCGGUGUUGUCAUUAAACAGAGUCUGCACGGCAGAGGCGGGGGCUGCCGGCGCCCCGGGGAGGCCGACACGGCAGGGAACGGGGGUCAGCCUGCAGCAAGCGGGCGGCCCCCCAAUUCCGCGCGGCCCAAGCAUCCAUUUUUCCGGGACUGCGGGUCCUAUAAAUGGUGCCUUUGAGGAGAGCUGCCCUGGUGACAGCAGGUCCCUCCCUGCAGCACCCACUCGGCCACGGGAUUCUGAAAGCUGAUUGUCCCUCCUCAAGCCCUGCCCUCCUGCGACAUUGCUCACGCUGACCAUUGUCCGCAGAAAGAGGCCAUUGUCUGGGGCUUACAUACCUGCUGACAGAGGCACAUGAAACCAGCAGAGCUUUGGGGAGACAGAAAUCCACCCAAAACAACAAAAAAAACCUGAGCCUAGCCGGAGGGCAGAGUUUAGACGGGGCUUGUUGAAUUUCCUGAUCUGCUGGUGUUCUUUCCAAGAGGAAAUGCCCCCCAUUAUGGGAGGAUCAGAGUUUUAUCUCUGGGCUGGAAUGACACCAUUUGUGCCUUUGUGUCAACAGCACAGAGGGGCAUUGUUUAGGGUUAUGUGGCCGGCGCUGGGAAGGGCUUGUUUGAAGAGAAAAAAAGAGAAAACCCAGAACAAUGUUUACCCAGCAGGCAGCUCCUGCCAAAGCAGCCGCCACCCCGUGCACUGGGAUGUCAGCUGGCCCGCCCGGGCCCCCUCGGCUGUGCCUCGGCCUCGAGUGCAGCCGCGCGGGCAGCUGGCGGGGACAGGUACGCGGUGCCAGCGCCUAAAGCACCAAUACCCAGCACCGCCCCUGAUCCAGAGCCGAAGGGCUAUUGAGCACCUGGCCGGGCCACUCAGGUUUGAGUAGAGGGAGCCUGGACACCGCCUCUCAGUGGAGGAAUGUGACCAUCCCACGGCAGGGAGAGCAUCCGGGAAGGAGACGCGCUGAUGUGGCCAUCGUUGGGGAAUAGAACUUCUCACAAUUAAAUCUCAGUACGAACUGUUAAGAUGGUCAAUGAAGCUACAAUCAUUUCAGCUGGGAGUCCUUUAUUGUUGCACUAAAGUAAAAAAAAAAAAAAAAAAAAAUCUUGGCUACAUGGUGCACAACCGUCUGACCCCGUAUAGCACUUCUCGGGUUUCAAAAGCCACUUUGUUCGCCGCUCACAAUUUCCCGGUGGGGAUCAUCACCCCCGUUUUACAGCCAUGGAAACUGAAGUCUAGAAGGGAAUAAAGAAUUUCUGCAGUGUCAGCACCUCGUGGACUGGGGAACAGAUCUAAAUAUUCUGCUUCAAUCCCAGAGGGCUGUCUUCUCCUCCACGUCGCCACUUACUGUGAUUACAACCCCCCAGGGGUCACAUUCCACACCCAGAAAAUUGUAACACUGACCCAAAAGAACCAGUUUUUGUUUUUUUGUUUUUGUCAGCUCUCAAAUUUUUUUUGUGGGACCCUUUAAAAAGCUCACAAGCUGGAUCCUGGAGCUAUGGAGCCUGGCCAAUAAGAUGAUUCUGAUUGCACAGAGCCUAGUGCUUUCUCAGUGAAAAGGGUCCCCCAAGUCCCUAUGGUUGUGUCGUCAGAGCUGGAGCCAUGAAGAGAAGCCAUUCCUCAUUACGAAGUGUUUUUUCGGGCCAAGGGUACACACUUGUCCUGCUCUAAAUGCUGUUGCUGGCAGGGACCUUUGCCACUCAGUCAACGGACUGAGUCCAGGAGGAUGACCGAAUAAUCCGGGAGGCUCUGAAUUCGCCAUCAUUAAUUCAGAUGGUCCAAUUCUGGUCAUCAGUUCAGGUUGAUCUGAAAUACCAGUGGGCCAGAGAGUGUGAUGAGGGAAAAACUCUUACGGAGAAGAAAAUGGGCCAGGGAAAUGGACUUGCUUAAGCCCAGUCGUGGAAGGAGUUUGGGGUAGAGAAGGCCACUCACGUCAUUAAAAAGCCCAUGGUGUGGCAGAGGCUCUGAUGAAUUUCAUCUGGCCAGUCCAACAUCUUUUCAAGGGGAGCUUGAACUCCAUUUCAUAGAUUGGACCCCUUGGGCUGAAAUAGGCCAAUAUUUGCCCAAAGAGAGCCGGUGACAGGAACCCAGUGCUGCCUAAUUCCAAGGCUCUGCUAUGUCUUCCUGCCGUUGCGAUGGAGAGACAUGCUUACGAUUUUUUGGAGGAAAUUAGCAGCAUGUUUUGAGGUUUGUGCUUGGAAUACCAGCAGGCUUAAGGAGAUUGCAGGAGCAAUGUCUUUUAGGAUUUUCCAUUUGCAGAAGCCACAAUCCUAUAACAAACAGUCGGUAUGAAAGAACUGGAGAGAAGUAAAUUAAGGGCUUACAAGAAGCAAUCAAGCCUUUGUCUAGAGUAGUGGAGCCAAGAACCCAGUUGGCUAACAAAUCCUCGUGGAGCACCUACCUACUCCGUGCAGGGGUCCCUGAGGGAUGAUAACCUCUCAGGUUUGGGUCCUCCGGUGCAGACAGGCACGGAAGUGGAUAGAAGGAGCUCUGGCCUACGAGUCAGAAGAUCAGAAUUUGCAAACUUCUCUUCCUCUCCCUGGCUGCGUGGCCUCGGACAAAUGAAUGCACCUCUCUGAGCCUCGGUUACCAUUUUGUAAGAUGGAGAUGCUAAUUCUUGCUCAAGCCACCUUCGGGCUCGACACGCCUGUGGAUCCCCGCGGAACUACGGCAUGCGGUAAACUACUAUCCUCUUUAUGACUGUCCCUUUGGCAGACCCAGUCUGCGGGGGAAGAGAUGAGGAAGCGAGGCCCGGACUUUGGAGAAUCCGAACCUGAGCAGCCUGGGUCCUCCAGGCUGAGCAGUCUCCUCUCAAAACUGAUGAAAACAGAAUGGGUUUCGAUUUGCCACAUGUCUUUCAAUCUUCCAAGGAAGGAUGGAAGAAAGGAGGUUGGCUGAUAAUCGAGCCUGGUGCCUGCUGACCUUGGGUGAGACUGUGGAGCCAUGGCACCUCCCCCACACUGCCAUCACCUCGGGAAACCAGCUGGAGUGUCAAAAAUCAGAAGAUGCUCACAGUUAGUGGGCCAGCCAUUCUCCUCUUUGGCAAAUAAGUGGAGAUACCCUUGUACACAUGCAGAGGGGAACGUGCAUACUAAUGCUCUUGACAGUAUUUUCGUAACGGAGGAAUUUGGAAACAAGCCUUGAUGGUCAUCAACUUGAAACCAGACUGCUUCUCCAGACUUUGGCCCCAUGAAUAAAGUGCAGCUACAUGUAUCAACAUGAUUAAAUAUCAAAAAUACAAUUCCGAGUGAAGAAAAGUACGUCUCAGAGAUACAGAAAUCAGUUAUCCAGACCUAUCUGUUAGGUCACCAUCAGUUACUGAGCCCAAGUCCUCGCGUGAAACUCAGCCCAGCAAGAACUCAAAAUCAUUUUCAUUCACAUAAAGUCACUAACGGUGUUAAAACUCUCAUACUACCUUCAAAAGAAACACGUGGCCGGUGUUGAUAGCGGAAAUGUAACAGAAAGCUGAAUAAUGAGUUUGGUAAGUCUUCCUCCCUCCUGAGGUUCUAGUCCCGUAUCAGGUGGUUCUAGUCUGGUAUCUGUCAUGAGGUGCCCCGUGCGUCCUGGAAUGACAUUUGCCUUUUACAUGUAGUCCUGACUUGUGUUUUCAAAUUCAGGUUUUGCCUUCUGUGUGUGUGUGUGUGUGUGUGUGUAUGUGUGUGCGUGCGUGUGUGUUAAUGAUUAGACCUGGCAUGUCUAUCAGAACUGAAGGUCACAGUGGAAAUGGGAUUUGGCGUCUGAGAUGGAGAAAAAUGCUGUUAUGACUUAAGAAUUCCUCCUUUCUGGAAUGUGAAUGCACAUGCAUGAAACGUAGCGCCUCCCUCUGAGAGUCUCCUCGCUGAGACGGUCUGACCUUCACAAAUGGAAGAAAGGCCCCUUUUCUCGAAGCUGCUGCUUUAUUUGGCCCCAGAUGUGCCCUCACAUGAACCCAAAAUAUCUACCGUAAACAGGAAGCUGUGCAACUCGGGGGGGAGGGCAGUGAGUUUGGGCACAAGGCAGACCUGGGGCUGACCCCUCCCCCCACCACACGCCUCUCUGGCCACGGACCAUCUUUGAGCUGUGGUGAGGACAGAACGGCCUGGUGUCCCUGACAGCUCUGUGAGGAAUUUGCAGAGCAGGAAGGGCUGCGAGCAGUGGUCAAGCGUGUGGUGGGCGGUCGAGUGGUCUGGCAACGCCACUUACUACGUACAGAGUGUCCUGUGCCUCUGCCGAUUCAUCUGGAAAAUGGGGCUACUAUUGGAAGCUUCUUCGCGGACUGUUUCCCACACCAUGCCCGCCAUGUGGUGAGGCCUCAAAUGAAUGUUAGCUACUUUUAAAGCUUCUUGGCCAAGGAGCCUGGAAGGAAGAGGGAGAAAGGGUGAUAUCCAGGAGGCAGAUCGGCUGGAAAAGUCUGACCACACUGGUUCCAACCACAUCUCUUACUCUGGGAAACCAGAGGCUGUCGAUGAGGAGGACGAGGGGCCGCGGAGUCUCCGACCCUCUUCCUCUGCUCACCUCCCCCGCCCCACGUCCAUCCUCUGGGAUUACAGGUAGAAGCUCUCAGGGCACGAAGAUUUUGUGCCUGUUCCUGACAGAGAUACAGUGGGACUGAGGUGUUGGAGGGUGGGGAGGGGACAAGAUCAUGACCGUUAAAAUUUGAACACGUUGUUCCAGCCUGUUAGUCGUGGAAAUGUCUAUUAUUUUUAUUAUUUAGCAUGCUGUAGAACAAUUGUUAGCUUUCCCUCCGUGUGGGACUACACGCUGCCUCUCCCCAAAUCCCCGCGGCCCCGGGCCAGCCAGGGCUCCCCGCUCUCCCUCAAGCUGCCCCUUUGGCGGCCAUUUGCCAGGGCUCCGCUUGACUUCAUGUGUCUUUUUUCCAAAAGCUGUUUCGAUUAACCCACAUUUACAAUAGGAAAUAAUAUUAGUCUCAUAACCAGAGGGUAUGGAGCCCUCGUUAUGUAGAAACAAACCUUGAGCUUCAAAUAUUUCUGCUGGUGAAACGUCUCACGUAAAACUUUUAUUGCAGUGGAUGUUAUGGGGGAGACAUUUUAAAUAGUAAAAACCAAUAUGCUGUGUUCCUGGAUUAUUUUAGUUAACAACAACGAAACUAGUCUAAAUGCACUACCUACAAAUUGAAUAAAACAGAAGCAGUCGACUUAUAAGAUUCGUAUUACAUAGCCUACAAUUGCAACACAUUAAACUAACAAGUGUCGCCUACCGUGUUUCUACAGAGCUGUGUCACGUAUGAUCCCUGGAUAAAAUAAUACUAAAAGACAAAAUAAAAAUUUUUUUGGUGAGAGAGAGAGGGAAAAAAAACCCAUCUUGCUGUUAUUCUGGGAUCUGCCAGUAAGCUCAGUGGGAGGCAGACCAACGAGGAAAGUGACCCCCUUCGGUUUCCAGGUUAUGCGACCCAAGAGCUCGUCCAGUGGUGGUCUUGGGGAGUUUCUUAUUGCCAGGGAGGCUAGCGUUGGGCAAAGCAAAGACCCUUGGUGGGGAGGACUCUUGGGGAACGUUGUCUGGGCUUUCAAGUUUUUUAUUUAUUUGAAAUGUUUAUUU